rnacentral:misc_RNA from 1 species
GAAAUGCGAUAAGUAAUGUGAAUUGCAGAAUUCAGUGAAUCAUCGAAUCUUUGAACGCACAUUGCGCCCGCCAGAAUUCUGGCGGGCAUGCCUGUUCGAGCGUCAUUUCAACCCUCGAGCUCCCCUUUCGGGGGGAGCCCGGCGUUGGGGACCCGGCGCUAACAACGCCGGCCCCGAAAUGGAGUGGCGUCCCGUCCGCGGCGACCUCUGCGUAGUAACAACCACUCGCACCGGGACCCGGGCGCGGCCACGCCGUAAAACACCCCACCUUCCGAAUGUUGACCUCGAAUCAGGUAGGAAUACCCGCUGAACUUAAGC